UGGAGGGACAGUGGAAGAAGGCGUCUGCCUGGCAGGUUGGAGGCAAAUUCGUCAUGUUAGCACACUCCUCUCAUGAACCAUGAUACCACGAUUACUGUUAUGGCAGUUCCAGACUUUUCAGUGGCGCUCCUGUUGUGAACGGCUGUUUCUCUUCUUUCUGCUGUAGCGUUCGCACUGAUGCUGGUUCUUCGUGAUGCUCCGGAGUAGUACUGAUCCUGCUGAACUGGGGAAUCUAUGCCUGUGACAGUUUGUCUUUGUAAUGUCUUGAGACUGAUUUCAUAGACCUGGCAACACGUGUUGAUUUCCAUGCUUUUGUGUGCCUACUGUGAAUUGGCCACUAGAUGGAUAAGAGGAUAACUCUACCGAAGUGUUCUCUUCAUUGGAUAUUGUCGAAAGGCACGUGCAGGGAUUGGCUCUCGGUGACGAGCACGAGCGGAGCUAAAGUUUGGUGUGGCGUGAACACGAUGAACGGUGACCUUGCGGUUGUGAGAGCUGGUGGUCAACAGCCUCGAUGGAAUUAUCCGAAUGGAUUGGGACGGAGCCCUGUGCGCCGGCCCUAGAUCCCCACCAAUCGCAGAGCUGCUUUCCGAUUGUUAAAUACUACAAGGCUCGUCGCGCCGCGCACGGUACGCCAAGUGAAGUGAGCUGCGACGGCGACUCUCUCAUCUGCUCUGCUUCUCCGCUCCGCUAGCUCCGCCGGCAGCGCGGGCCAUGGUGACGCCAUCCCGUGCGCUCCUCCUGCUGCUACCGCUGCUCGCCGUCGCGGCAUCUCAUCCGGCGCACGAGUUCUGCGCGGCGGGGGGUGACGCCGGCUGUGGCGACGGAGGGGACGGCACGAGGAUCCUGAUCAAGGGCGGGACGGUGGUGAACGCGCACCGGGCGGAGGAGGCCGACGUCUACAUCGAGGACGGCGUCGUCGUCGCCGUCAGGCCCAACAUCCCGGUCGGUGAUGAUAAUGUCAGAGUGAUCGACGCAACUGGAAAAUAUGUCAUGCCAGGUGGAAUUGACCCUCACACGCACUUGGCGAUGGAGUUCAUGGGCACCGUGACCAUAGAUGACUUCUUCAGCGGCCAUGCUGCUGCACUGGCAGGUGGGACGACGAUGCACAUUGACUUUGUCAUUCCAGUGAACGGCAACUUGACUGCAGGCUUGGAGUCCUACAAGCAGAAAGCAGCAAAUGCUGCCAUGGAUUAUGGCUUUCACAUGGCCAUUACCAAGUGGAAUGACGAGGUUGCAAGGGAAAUGGAGGUGAUGGUUAAGGAACAUGGGAUCAAUUCUUUCAAGUUCUUCAUGGCAUAUAAGGGUUCCCUGAUGGUCACGGAUGACCUACUCCUCCAAGGCCUGAGGAAAUGCAAGUCCCUCGGUGCCCUGGCUAUGGUACAUGCAGAGAAUGGGGAUGCUGUUGUGGAGGGACAACAGCGGAUGAUCGACCUUGGAAUAACUGGCCCAGAAGGGCAUGCUCUCUCAAGGCCCCCAAUUUUGGAAGGAGAAGCAACUGCACGGGCAAUCCGCUUAGCCAAUUUCAUCAAUACGCCACUGUACGUUGUUCAUGUGAUGAGCGUUGAUGCAAUGGAGGAGAUUGCCAAGGCUAAAAGAGAAGGGCAGAGAGUCAUUGGUGAACCAGUGGUUUCUGGACUGGUACUUGAUGAUUCUUGGCUUUGGGAUCCUGACUUCAUAGUUGCUUCAAAGUAUGUGAUGAGUCCUCCGAUCCGGGAAGCAGGGCAUGGUAAAGCACUCCAAGCUGCUCUCUCAUCAGGAAUUUUACAGCUUGUAGGUACUGAUCACUGCACAUUCAAUUCCACACAGAAAGCCUUCGGCUCUGAUGAUUUUCGGAAGAUUCCCAAUGGCGUAAAUGGUCUUGAGGAACGGAUGCAUAUUAUUUGGGAUAGCAUGGUGUUCCUCUGCUCUGAUGCUUAUGCAACACAAACAGGAGACUGGCAAGAUUUCUGUCACCGACUAUGUCAGAGUGACAAGCACAGAAUGUGCCAGGAUCUUCAACAUAUACCCUCAGAAAGGAGCAGUCCUAGAAGGAUCUGACGCAGACAUCAUCAUCCUAAACCCUGAAAGGAGCUUUGUGAUGGGUGCCCACACGCACCAUUCAAGGUCCAACACAAAUGUAUAUGAGGGCAGGAAAGGAAAGGGAAUGGUGGAAUUAACGAUCUCAAGGGGCCGAGUGGUAUGGGAGGAUGGUGUGUUGAACAUCACUCCCGGUUCAGGAAGAUACAUCAGGAUGGCGCCUUUUGGCUAUGUAUUUGAUGGCAUUGAGAAGUCAGAUGCCGCCUACAGAGCUUCCCUCCGAGCUCCUGUACAGCGUGGUAAAGCUGCUGCUUAACAAUGACUUGCUCCAUCUGGUUCGCUCCAUCUAGUUCGAGAACGAGCUGCUCCAAGGUGAACACCGCCCGUUCCAUGUGUAUACAAAAAAGGGGGAAACUUUAUUUAAGUUCAGAUUCAGGAUUGGUAAAGGCCUUAACUUGCCUAUGUACAUCGAACACAUUUGUGACCCAGAAAUUUAUUGGUUCCAGACGAUUUGUACAACUAGCAACUUGUUAUUCCAAUAAAUGAAAGGAAAAGUUAGGGGGUGUUUCGAUA